GAGUCAUGUCCAGUGUAAUCUCAUACGUGAAAUAAAAAAAUAAAAUAAAAUAUACACGGACUUUGCCCUCCGCGGCGACGCCACAUCACAAUUUACGUGGCUAGGGCCGGUCACCUCCUUAAUUAAUUGACAGGACAGAGAGAAAAGAAGUGUAGAAAUUCUUUGUGGAGUCUGUUUUGGAAAAUGACUAGCUACCACAAUAACACUGUUUCAACUUUACUCGACUAACACGAAUUCCUAAAUUUCCCUAUUUUGGACCGCUACUUUUUGACAACCAAGUCCAUCAAAGAAAAAACUGUUUUUUUCCUCUGACUUGAAAAUGUGAAGAAAAAAAAAAUUAAAAAAGGAUAAAUGGACGAAAGUAUUCUUUUACUUCUCUAACCUUGACUAAAAUAAAAUAGCUAAUGUGAGUACAUAAUGCAUUUGAUGGGUGAUUUACAAGAAAUAUCUUAAUCUUGAUAUCUUGACUUUGUUUGUUUUGAGGGCAAAAUUUUAAGUUUGAUAAGUUUUGACUUUUGAUCUUGAAGAUUUGCUUAUGAACUAAAUAGAGGAACAACACGUGAUAGAAGGCAGAAGCAUGAAUUGUUGUCCUUAAUUAUGUGUCAAACAAAAUUAAUCUCAUGGACAUCCAUCAGGCAUCAACUAUCAAUCCAUCAUAAACAGAAGGAUAAUGAGUACGUGACCACUUUUGCUGGAUAACUCGAGUCCAAAUAUUUUCCAAUGCCUAAGAAUAUAUUAGGUUUUUGUCUGGAAAAACUUAUACGCACUCAGUGUAUAUACCAAGUCAAUACAUGCAUGUCAUGUGUUUGAAUUUAAAAUUCAUGUUACUUAACCAUGAUUAAUCAAUAUGUAUUUUACUUGAUUUAAUUACAUAACCAUCGUGGAGAACAUUAAUCUGGUGUAUACAUCGCGUGCGUGUAAGUUUUCACCUUGGGUGUCCAUGUCCAAUUUUAUUUUGCCAAGUCAUUUUGAAGGGCUUUUGAAUGGACCUGUUGGCUAAGCAUGGAAUGCCAGCUUAUGAUUUGCAUCUCUCCUAAGAUACCUAAGAUUAUGAACCAUUACC